GGCUUCUGGGUGGAUGGGGCCCAGCACCCACAGCCUAGGCUGGCUGCCUGAGAGUAGCGAGUGACAGGUAAGGGCUCUGAACCUUCCUGCGUGCUACCCAAGGAGUGCCUAGGGCUACCAGGAGGCCCAGGGAGGAACCUUGAGACCUGAGAAAGGCUUUUCUUCCCCGAGAGGACCACUGCUCAGGCUCAGAGGCCAUGGGGUGAAGUGCACAAAAAAGUGGGCGUCCAGCCAUGCUCUAAGUCCCCCGAAGAUGAAGACCAGGGAGCAGCUUCCUCCAAUGAAGCAGCAGCAAUCAGAGGACCAGGAGGCUGAAGCCCUGAGCCCAGCCAGAGGCAGGAUCAGCCAAGUCUGGGACAGGCUUCAAUUAUUUUAGGCAGAGCUUCUGGUUCCUGGGCCUUCAGACUUGGACUAGAACUUCACUACCAGCUUUCCUGGGUCUCCAGCUUGCAGAGAGCAGAUCGCAGAACUUCUUAGCCUCCAUAAUCACAAGAACGUGUUUGCUUCCCCUUCCACCAUGAUUGUAAGUUUCCUGAGGCCUCCCCAGUCCUGCAGAACUGCUUUGAAGAAGACCACUGCGUCGGUAUUUGUGAAAUGUUUUGAGCCUCUGGAUUUAAAUAAGAUGGAAAACCAAAGCUCAGGGAGUUUUACAUGGGCAGGCAGCUGGUGAGGGCUGAGACUGGAGCCAGGCCAGUGGUCUUCAAAGGCUUUAGUCAAACUUUUUGACAGAUAUAAGAAAACCGAACUAAGGAAAAUACUUUCCUGGGAUCAUCCCUAUAUGAAGUGGCAGACCUGGAAUUGCUCCCUGUUUCAAAACAUGUAAGCUCCUCAAGAACAGGAACUUUUGUCUGUUUGUUCAUUGUUGUAUCUCCAAUCCUUAGAACUAUGCCUGGCUCAAAGUAGGUGCUCAAUAAAAUAUCUGCUGAAUGAACAAAUGCAAUCUAAUCACCAAACUUACUCUGAACGCUCACCAAGUGUGAGGCACUGCUCUUAUGAGAAAAGUAAUGUAAGAGACAUUCUAGUUUGUUUGACUAAACCUCACUCACCACAGAAUACUCACAAAGGGCUGUCCAGAAACAGAAAUGUGAUAAAAGCCUGCAUCCCGAACUUGGUGCCAAAUUUGUACUUUUAGACUUGAGAGGGUAUGGAGCUUCCUAUUCCCUGCCUGUUCCUCUCCUUCAGUCCUCCCUCCAUGGAAAUAAUCAGCCACCACAGCCCAGGAAGAAAGGGAAGCAGUCCCAUACCCCAGGAGCAGGCUGGCCUGCGAUAUCACAUCAGACUCCUGGGAUUCCAGAGAGAAAGGAGUCCCUGAGGCCCUGCAAGUCCACCUACGGGGGCUGUAGAGCUGGAGACCUGGGGCCUGGAUAUUAAAAUAACACAUGCAUAUCCACAGGCAGGGGGCGUGGGCCCUGCUCCUUCUGUAGGUUCUUUUAAACAUUUAUCUUCAGAAGUCUUUAUUUGUGCUAAGUCACUUAGAUCAAAACAAAAACACUUAUUUUUGUGUUUGCUUAAACAACGUAGAUCGUUUCUUCAGUUAUCUCCUGGCUAUAUAUGUGGACACAUCUUAGAUCUAGAGACUAAGAAAAGUAUUUUCUUGCUGUCCUGUACUUUCUACACAUUUGUAACCUGUGUUCAUAACAAAGGUAAUCAAUUUCCCGACAAGUAGUUAUUCAAGCUAGGUGAGACAAAUAAAGGAGAUAAAGAAGUUGCACGAUUUAAACAAACAAAAGGAACAGUCAGCCACCAAACAAAGCCCACAGUUCCAAUGUAAUGAUUUGAAAUAGUUUUGAUCUUUUUUGGUAGGGGAUGGGGCCAGGUCAUAACCAUGUAAAAGUAAUGAAAACAAACCAAGACUGCGGGGCCCUAAUUACUGUCAAGUUGUCAUUUUCUCCAAUUGCCUUGAAGGUUUGUUUCUUUUUAAAAUUCAGUGUAACCUUACAGGAGGCAAUAAGGGCUGGCGAAACGCGGUGGCAGUGGAAACUAGCUGGGCGGAUGCAGCAACUUUGGGAAUAGUGGGAUGCAGGGGUGGAAGACAGGCUGAGGGCAAAGGGGCUGCCAGGGCUUCUGAGGAGGCUCCCAGGAGACUGAUAAGAUCCCGAGGGGAUCGGAGAAGUGCGAGGGUCCAGUUACAUGUGCAGGAAAGGUGAUGAACCCCAGGUUUUUAUACUUGUUCAUGAGGCGCCAGCCUCAUGCUUAGUUUGUUUCUGAAGCAUAUCACCCUCACUCUAACUCCUAUCUAGAAUAUUCUUCUCCCAGAUCUUCCCGUAGCUGGCUCAGCUUUCACGUCACCUCUUCAGAAAGGCCUCCCUGACCACCAACCUGAAGUCACAACCUAGUUAGUCUCUCGCCCCUUUUCCAUGCUUUUUUUUUUUUUUUUGCCUUCAUGGCUGUUGGCACUACCUGAACGUUUCUUGUUUGUCAGUAUAUGUCCUCUGCGCCCCCAUACCAUGGUGUAAGCCCCAGGAGAGCAGAAACUUCCUUUGUCUACCCGACAGGGCUGAAGCCUCAGAGUCUGGAUCAGUGUCAGGUACGGAGAAGGUGCUCUGGUGGAAACCUCAGUGGCAACGUUCAGCUCACAGUGGGAAACUCGGGCCUUCAGACCAGGGAAGGGGGCCGUUUGAAGAUAUGAGUCUGGAGUGUGACUGAUGAAGCCAAAAGCAGGCACAAACUCUCUUUUUAUGACCAACUUUGGAUAAUGAGCUCAAGCCAUGUAUAAAAACAUUCCCCAAAAGUGCUUUUCUAGAUGAAAGGGAGAAAAAUAGCUAAAGUGAUCCAUCUUCCUUUCUUUGAGGAAGGUUGGCACCGCUUCUGUUGCUUCCAGGAAGAUUGCAUACACAUGUAAAACCGGAAAAACGUUAAUGAAGAGAAAAACUAAAAGCUCCCGCCCCCACCCAGGCCUGCUCAGAAGAACCCAAGCCACUCAGAAGCAGGAGGCAGCCUUCACCCCAACCAGACCAAUAUCCGUUCCAGACUCAGGAUUACAACAAUCUGGGAGAGGGUCAACCAAGUCAGAGUCCCACAUGGCAGAAGAGCUGCUUUAGCUUAAGACUCUUAACUCUUUUUCUUCGGGGCAGGAAAGGUUUGAGCCAAUGAAGGAUGAGGCUUUCCAGGCCCAGGACACAACCUUGAUCCAAGGCCUAGUUGUGGCUUUAAUUUUUGUAAAUCAAGCCUCAAGUUUUUCUUCACUCUUUUAGCCAAAGAUAUGUUUCCCAGGAUGCAUGAAAUAAAUAAAUAAAAUGUACCAAAUUAGAGAUUGUGAGACAUGUAUGUCACUUAAAUCCUUUGUAGGCAA
rnacentral:lncRNA from 10 species